GAAAGUUGAUCCCUUUCUUUCUCUCUCCUUUAUCUGAUUCCUGUGCGAGAGAUUCUGAUUUUAUUCAGCGUAGAGACAAAAAGAAGUCACUCCACACACCAACUCACACACACUGAAGCGAACCUAAACUUUCAUUAAAAAUCGUCCAUCGUUUCGAUAGAUCAUGCCGCCAGGUGCGAAGAAGAGAAAGGCGUUGAAGAAGAAGAAGCAGCAGCAACAACAGGAACCGACUGUAACAAGCACGAACACUAAGGGAUCCACCAAUGGCGAUAAUCACCAUGUUCUCUGAUCAUCUGUUUCGAGCUAAGAAUUGAUGAAUGAAUGCUUCUUCAGCCCCGUUCGUUUGGUUGCCGCAGGUUUCGGCGUCAGCAGCGGCGGCAGCGUCAAUGAGAACAGUUGUUGUUUGUUUCGCAGACGCUGCUGACGCUGCCGCUGACGCUGCCGCAUGUUAUAUCGCGACCGCAAGUUUUAUCGACGCAGCUUCCUGCGUCAACAAAACGAACAAAAGUUGACGCAGAAUGUUGACGCUGCCACUGCCGCCGGUACCUGCGGCAACCAAACGAACAGCCCUUUCGUUCAUUGAACUUGAGCUACACUUUGUUGGACUGAUGAAGAAGAACAACAGAGUUAGUAUUUUUGUUUACUCAGUAUUUGUUUGAUCUUUGUGAAGAGAAAGGACAUGAUGAAAAUGGAAGGCAAGAUGAUAGGGGAAGUGAUGAUAGCAGUUUGAGUUCCCCUGCUUCUCAAGGAAGUGGAGAAUUUGGCGAGGCAAAAGAUCCAUCUGGUUUGGUGAAUGACACUGCUAAAGAGAUAUCAGAUCAUGUUACUCAGGGGCUAGGACCAAAAAAUGGUAUUGAAAGAGGAAAGGAUGACAAGAAAAACUCUGUGGACUUAGCUUCUCAGGAUGCUUGUGGCAAUUCGAUCAAGGAAAUCACUCCUGUUGCCAAACCUGAAAAGACUGAGCAUGCUGAGACCUCAACACACUCAAAUUUAGUCAACAACAAGUCUGAUGGAACGAAGGAGUAUCCAUCUCCGGAGAAAGAUAAUGGUAAGGUGGCGGCUACUCUUCCUGGGUCUGCUGCUGGAACAAGCAGAAAUGUAGGGAGUAUAAUAAAAUCUGAAGUUCCAGUGUCCUCUGAGGAGAAGCGUCUCUUGUUGACUGAUCCACCAGCCGUCCGAACUUCCUGGUUAAGUUGCUGCGGUUUGUUUGAUGCAGUGACAGGAUCUGACAGAUAAACACAGGAGGUAGAUAAAGGUGGGACGCGCAUGACAGCCAAAGCUCAAAGACAACCGAAAAACAUGAUUCACGGUCCGUAAACUUUUCUCUGUACAUUGUCUUUGGUAGAUAAUAAUGUGGGCGGCUUUUAGCAACAUACGAACAAGACCAACAUCCUUAACUGGGUACAUUUGUUCAUUAAAUGGAUUUUAGAUUCAUGACUAAAUCUAGCUCAAUCUUUCUUAUCAA